rnacentral:rRNA from 1 species
CCUACGGGUGGCAGCAGUGGGGAAUAUUGCGCAAUGGGGGCAACCCUGACGCAGCAACGCCGCGUGAUUGAAGACGGCCUUCGGGUUGUAAAGAUCUUUAAUCGGGGACGAAUUUUGACGGUACCCGAAGAAUAAGCUCCGGCUAACUACGUGCCAGCAGCCGCGGUAAUACGUAGGGAGCAAGCGUUAUCCGGAUUUACUGGGUGUAAAGGGCGUGUAGGCGGGCAUGCAAGCCAGAAGUGAAAUCUGGGGGCUUAACCCCCAAACUGCUUUUGGAACUGCGUGUCUUGAGUGAUGGAGAGGCAGGCGGAAUUCCCAGUGUAGCGGUGAAAUGCGUAGAUAUUGGGAGGAACACCAGUGGCGAAGGCAGCAUACCGGCGCGCAACUGACGCUCAUGCACGAAAGCGUGGGUAUCGAACAGGAUUAGAUACCCUGGUAGUC